rnacentral:rRNA from 1 species
CACGGAGGAUGCGAGCGUUAUCCGGAUUUAUUGGGUUUAAAGGGUGCGUAGGCGGGCUUUUAAGUCAGCGGUAAAAAUUCGGGGCUCAACCCCGUCCGGCCGUUGAAACUGGGGGCCUUGAGUGGGCGAGAAGAAGGCGGAAUGCGUGGUGUAGCGGUGAAAUGCAUAGAUAUCACGCAGAACCCCGAUUGCGAAGGCAGCCUUCCGGCGCCCUACUGACGCUGAGGCACGAAAGUGCGGGGAUCGAACAGG